CUGGGCCCGUGGGUCCAACCGGACCCAUAAUUUAAAAGAAGCAUCAGCUUCUUCUUCCUCACUUCAUUCACCACACAGCAACACAGCAAGGGGGGAGAGGAGAUUCCCAAACCCUCACCAUUCCUUUCAACUACCAUAACUUCCUCAUUUGAGCUCCAAUCGCUGCACCGUUUGCGGCCACGCGUCCACCGCGUCGAGCUCUACCUUUCUAUCCGAACAAUUUCACCGGUUCAAGUUAGCUUCCGAGACUUAUGGGCUCAAGCUAUUGAGCACAUGGGUAUGGUGUAGAUUAAGUGGGUAUAUAAGCAUUGGAAAUUGACUUGGGAGUAAUUGGAGGCUUGUUGGUGAUCAAGCUUGGUUUGGGGGCUAUUUUAAUUGAGCUUGGAGGGGCUGUAAUUUUGAGUUGUGAGGAUGGCUUGGGUAAACUAAGUGAUCGGCCAAGGUAUGGUUUAAGUUUCGCACGUUUAAUAUUUACGGUGUUGUGAAAACUUAGGUUAGAAGAACCAUAGGAUAAGUUGAAUUUGUUAAUGGCAUUUAAUGAGUAGCUUUGUAUUGUUGUUGGUAUAAUUGUUGAUGAACAUAUAUUGGAAUUAUGAGAUAUUGAGGUUAUUAAUUUUAUGUCCUUGGACUUGUUUAUAAUGGGUUGUGUUGAUGUUGAUAUAUUGAUGGAUUGUGAUUGGUGUUUGUUACUAAAAUGUGUUAUGUGAAGUUGAUGGAUUGAUGUGUAUGAAGGGUUGAUUUAUGUUAAUGGUAUUUAAUUGGUAUAUGUUGAUGGAAGGUUGAUAAAUAUAUGAUGAAAGUUGGUAUAGGUGAAGAAUUAAUAUGAAUAAAUGAAGGGUUAUUGAUGUAUGAGGUAAAAGUGGAUAAUUAUUGAUAAUCAAGGUUGGUUAAGUUGAUUAAAGGUUAUAUUGGUAAUGGUUGUUGAUGAAUUGGGUUGAUAUGGUAUUGUAAUGCAAGUUAAAAUGGUAAGAAACUUAAAUUGGUGAAAGUGAGGUUUUGUUGAAAAUUGGUUAAAACUAAAUUUUGAUGAACUUUGAACGUCCAUAAUAUUCCUCUUAAAUUUUGGAUUGAAUUGUGGUUUGUUGAAAAUAAAAGAUGAUUUUAAGAGCUUUUGAUUAAUAUCAACUUUGUGGAAAACGAAAUUUUGUGGAGGAAGUUAUGGACGUUGCAAGUUUAGUGUUUAAAUAUGUGUUUAGGAUGGCCAAACAGGUUUGCUGCAAGCUUUUUGGGCAUUCUGCCCAUUUUUUAAAAAACGCCCACCCACGCGUACGCGUGGCUCACGCAUAUGCGUGGCGUGGAAUUUUUGGCGACGCAUGCAUACGUGUGUGUGCAUAUCACUACAAGAGACACGCCGAAUAACGGCGGUUUUUUUAGGAAUUUGCGGCGAUUUUUAACCGCCGCAAAACAAAAUUCCAGCGGUUCUACAAGCGUCGCCUAUUAAGGGGUGGAGA